AACCACUACACAGAUUGCUUUGUCUUUGUAUUUAACAUUCCAGGUCUUAUUAUUGAUGCUUUCGGAGAGCUAAGAGACCAGCAGGAACAAGUGCGAGAAGAUAUGGAGGUAAUGUUACUCUACUAAUCCCAGCUCUAUUUUAAUAUCCCCAGAAGCAAAUAGAUUUUUUAAACAAUAGGUUUUACUAUUACUUAGGGCCAGUACUAAGCAAGAACACAGUUUGUUUUCCAUGCCCUGUGCUCUGCACCCUGCCAUACCCCUGCCAGGCCGGCCACUCUGCUGCCUCCUCCACUGUCCCACAAUCGGAGGGAGCAGUAUCCUCAGCUAAUCAGGAGCUAAGUGUAUGGCACUACUGAGUGAAUGACUAAUAGCCAAAAGCAUUAGAAAGUAAGUUUUCAUUGUCCUUCAAUUCGAUAGAAUCAUGACAGUUUUCUCUCCUGCCUAUAUUAUGCCAACAAAUGCCUUUUCUGCCUGUUAUUUUUCUUAGACUAAAUGUUUCAUCUGUGGGAUUGGCAAUGACUACUUUGACACGACCCCUCAUGGUUUUGAAACACAUACAUUACAAGAGCACAACUUAGCCAACUACUUGUUCUUUCUGAUGUAUUUGAUUAAUAAAGAUGAAACAGAGCACACGGGUCAGGAAUCUUAUGUCUGGAAGAUGUACCAAGAAAGGUGUUGGGAUUUCUUCCCAGCCGGUGACUGCUUUCGUAAACAAUAUGAAGAUCAGCUUGGAUAAAUCUGGAUGAAAGAAGCGCCACAAUUCUGGACAGUCAACUUCCCAUGAAAUAAAGUCCUCCUUUUACAGUUCUGCAACAUAUCUGAAAUGUGACAUUUUCUAAAUGCCUCCCUUAAAAAAAAAAAAAAAACUGUUUGCUGAAAAUCUGUGCUAUUUUGAAAUUAAUUUGGCUUUUUGUGCCUAAUGGACAUACACUGUGGGAGAGAACCUGUCAAGAUGUUGAAGAAGGAAGGCGAAGAAUCAAGUAAUCUCUAGGCAAAUGCCUUCAAGUUUUCCAGUUCUGAGGUAACUAGUUUGUUGGGAUGGAAGCAUGAAGGAAAGGGCUAGAGAAGUAUGAAAUCUCGAAUGUGUAAUACCUGAAAAUUUAAACACUUGAAUGUCAUCAUGGUAUCCAACUUGUGACUCAUAGGGUCUGAACUCCAAAAGAUAAUAACUGCAGUCUAAUUUUUCCCAUGGUACUUGCUAGUGACUGUAUCCAGAAAAGCUUUAAGCAGUUAAAGAAACAGAAAAAACCCGACACUUUGUCGACACUGAAAUAUCGAUUAAGUGCCUUAAAACCUCUUUAGACAUAGCUAUGCAAGUUUUUUAUGUUUGUGUUCCAGAAGGACAGUUCCAUUCAUUAGUUGUGAUCUUCC
rnacentral:lncRNA from 1 species